rnacentral:rRNA from 1 species
UGCGCAGGCGGAAUGAUUAGUCAGUGGUGAAAGCCCUCGGCUCAACUGAGGAACUGCCAUUGAUACUGUCAUUCUUGAGUACAGUUGUAGUGGGCGGAAUGUGUCAUGUAGCGGUGAAAUGCAUAGAGAUGACACAGAACACCGAUCGCGAAGGCAGCUCACUAAGCUGAAACUGACGCUCAGGCACGAAAGCGUGGGUAGCAAACAGGAUUAGAUACCCUGGUAGUCC